rnacentral:rRNA from 1 species
UGCCUACGGGGCGCAGCAGUGGGGAAUCUUCCACAAUGGGCGAAAGCCUGAUGGAGCAACGCCGCGUGGGUGAAGAAGGUCUUCGGAUCGUAAAACCCUGUUGUUAGAGAAGAAAGUGCGUGAGAGUAACUGUUCACGUUUCGACGGUAUCUAACCAGAAAGCCACGGCUAACUACGUGCCAGCAGCCGCGGGAAUACGUAGGGGGAAAGCGGUAUCCGGGAUUAUUGGG